UACGAAGGGGGCUAGCGUUGCUCGGAAUCACUGGGCGUAAAGCGCACGUAGGCGGACUCUUAAGUCGGUGGUGAAAUCCUGGAGCUCAACUCCAGAACUGCCUUCGAUACUGGGAGUCUCGAGUCCGGGAGAGGUGAGUGGAACUGCGAGUGUAGAGGUGAAAUUCGUAGAUAUUCGCAAGAACACCAGUGGCGAAGGCGGCUCACUGGCCCGGUACUGACGCUGAGGUGCAAAAGCGUGGGGAGCAAACAGG
rnacentral:rRNA from 1 species